AUGGCUCAGGAUGAACGCUAGCUACAGGCUUAACACAUGCAAGUCGAGGGGCAGCAUUGGAGUAGCAAUACUUCAGAUGGCGACCGGCGCACGGGUGAGUAACACGUAUCCAACCUGCCGCUUACUCGGGGAUAGCCUUUCGAAAGAAAGAUUAAUACCCGAUGGUAUAAAGAGUUCGCAUGUUCUCUUUAUUAAAGAAUUUCGGUAAGCGAUGGGGAUGCGUUCCAUUAGAUAGUUGGCGGGGUAACGGCCCACCAAGUCUACGAUGGAUAGGGGUUCUGAGAGGAAGGUCCCCCACAUUGGAACUGAGACACGGUCCAAACUCCUACGGGAGGCAGCAGUGAGGAAUAUUGGUCAAUGGACGAGAGUCUGAACCAGCCAAAGUAGCGUGAAGGAUGACUGCCCUAUGGGUUGUAAACUUCUUUUAUAAGGGAAUAAAGUGAGGGACGUGUCCCUUUUUGUAUGUACCUUAUGAAUAAGGAUCGGCUAACUCCGUGCCAGCCGCGGC
rnacentral:rRNA from 1 species